GGAAGUAAAAAGUCGUAACAAGGUUUCCGUAGGUGAACCUGCGGAAGGAUCAUUAUUGAAACUUCAUCCGGGGCGCCGCGGCCCUCAGCACCGGUGGAAACGCCGUGUUGCGGGGGCCGCGCGUGCACUCGUCCAAACCAAACCCCUGUGAACCUUACGGGAUGGCCUGGGUUAGCGCCCGGUGCCGUUCCGCUUUAUACAAACACUUAUCAAAGAAUGAACUGAAGGCGGUCUGACCGCUGGAUAACAAAACUGAAACAACUUUCAACAACGGAUCUCUUGGCUCUC
rnacentral:misc_RNA from 1 species